CCUACGGGAGGCUGCAGUGGGGACUAUUGGGCAAUGGGCGCAAGCCUGACCCAGCAACGCCGCGUGAAGGAAGGAGGCUUUCGGGUUGUAAACUUCUUUUAAGAGGGCAGAGCAGAAGACGGUACCUCUUGAAUAAGCCACGGCUAACUACGGGCCAGCAGCCGCGGUAAUACGUAGGUGGCAAGCGUGUUCCGGAUUUACUGGGUGGAAAGGGCGUGCAGCCGGGAAGACAAGUCAGAUGUGAAAUCCAGCGGCUCAACCGCGGAACUGCAUUUGAAACUGUUUUUCUUGAGUACAGGAGAGGUCAUCGGAAGUCCUUGUGUAGCGGUGAAAUGCGUAGAGAUAAGGAAGAACACCAGUGGCGAAGGCGGAUGACUGGACGGCAACUGACGGUGAGGCGCGAAAGCGUGGGGAGCAAACAGGAUUAGAUACCCGAGUAGUC
rnacentral:rRNA from 1 species